rnacentral:tRNA from 1 species
AUUCUCGUAGCUUAUGUUUAAAGCAUUACAUUGAAGCUGUAAAUAAGACAUUCAGUCCAAGAAUA